GAUGAACGCUGGCGGCGUGCCUAAUACAUGCAAGUCGAGCGAACAGACGAGGAGCUUGCUCCUCUGACGUUAGCGGCGGACGGGUGAGUAACACGUGGAUAACCUACCUAUAAGACUGGGAUAACUUCGGGAAACCGGAGCUAAUACCGGAUAAUAUAUUGAACCGCAUGGUUCAAUAGUUAAAGACGGUUUUGCUGUGACUUAUAGAUUGAUCCGCGCCGCAUUAGCUAGUUGGUUAGGUAACGGCUUACCAAGGCAACUAUGCGUAGCCGACCUGAGAGGGUGAUCGGCCACACUGGAACUGAGACACGGUCCAGACUCCUACGGGAGGCAGCAGUAGGGAAUCUUCCGCAAUGGGCGAAAGCCUAACGGAGCAACGCCGCGUGAGUGAUGAAGGUCUUCGGAUCGUAAAACUCUGUUAUUAGGGAAGAACAAAUGUGUAAGUAACUAUGCACGUCUUGACGGUACCUAAUCAGAAAGCCACGGCUAACUACGUG
rnacentral:rRNA from 1 species